UAAGUGUAAUGAAUCAUUGACUUUUAGAGGUGGCAGGGACUUUUAGAGAAUUCAUCAGGGAGGAAACUGAAAGGAAGAGAUUGCCAUUUGACAGCUAAUGCUAAUUUAAUCACAAUAUCUUUCUACCUCAUCUUCUCUGGGUUACUUUGAACUGACAAUUUAAAAUGUUUGAGAUUGGUCUCAGUUGGCUUGGGUUGUUUUGUUUUGUUCUUUUUUUUUGGAAGCAGUUCAUUUUUUUGUGUCUUCCUAGCCUGGCUAGGGUUUUGGUCUAAGUACAUCUGUAUUCUUAUUUCUUAGAGUGAUUUCCUCUAAGGGGGUUCUUUUAAAAGGGAAAGUUUUUUUUAACUUUCCUGUGUUUGCUAAUUAAGCUUUCUCUUUGUUUCAGAUUGAAGUGAGUGAAUUCAGAUAUAUAUCUCAACCUUGUUAGAGGGCUUUUUAAAAAAUAAAAAGUUGAUUCGGUGCAUGAGAGCAAGUUACUGCUGCUUACCGUUCAGAGACUUACAGGUGCUUGCCUGCAUUGCAAUAAAGGACUCAUAUAUUGAGCAAGACUUAUAUUUAUCUCUUCGUUUUGGAGAGCCUAAUAAACUGUUAUUACAGUUUCUCUACUGACUUUCAAAAGUUUUGAAGUUUGAAAGAGACAUCUUUACAAUUAAUACAGCAUGAGCACGGCCAGAACAGAGAACCCUGUUAUAAUGGGUCUAUCCAGUCAAAAUGGUCAGCUGAGGGGCCCUGUGAAGCCCAGUGGUGGCCCCGGAGGAGGGGGCACACAGACACAGCAACAGAUGAACCAGCUGAAAAAUACCAACACAAUCAAUAAUGGCACUCAGCAGCAAGCACAGAGUAUGACCACCACUAUUAAACCUGGUGAUGACUGGAAAAAGACUUUAAAACUCCCUCCAAAGGAUCUAAGAAUCAAAACUUCGGAUGUGACCUCCACAAAAGGAAAUGAGUUUGAAGAUUAUUGUUUGAAACGGGAGUUACUGAUGGGAAUUUUUGAAAUGGGCUGGGAAAAGCCAUCUCCUAUUCAGGAGGAGAGCAUUCCCAUUGCUUUAUCUGGUAGGGAUAUCUUAGCUAGAGCAAAAAAUGGAACAGGCAAGAGCGGUGCCUACCUCAUUCCCUUACUUGAACGGCUAGACCUGAAGAAGGACAAUAUACAAGCAAUGGUGAUUGUUCCCACUAGAGAACUUGCUCUACAGGUCAGUCAAAUUUGCAUCCAGGUCAGCAAGCACAUGGGAGGGGCCAAAGUGAUGGCAACCACAGGAGGAACCAAUUUACGGGAUGACAUAAUGAGGCUUGAUGACACAGUGCAUGUGGUGAUAGCUACCCCUGGAAGAAUCCUGGAUCUUAUCAAGAAAGGAGUAGCAAAAGUUGAUCAUGUCCAGAUGAUAGUUUUGGAUGAGGCAGAUAAGUUGCUGUCACAGGAUUUUGUGCAGAUAAUGGAGGAUAUUAUUCUCACGCUACCUAAAAACAGACAGAUUUUAUUAUAUUCCGCUACUUUCCCUCUUAGUGUACAGAAGUUCAUGAAUUCCCAUUUGCAGAAACCCUAUGAGAUUAACCUGAUGGAGGAACUAACUUUGAAGGGAGUAACCCAGUACUACGCCUAUGUAACUGAGCGCCAAAAAGUACACUGCCUCAACACACUUUUCUCCAGGCUUCAGAUAAACCAGUCGAUCAUUUUCUGUAACUCCUCUCAGCGAGUUGAAUUGCUAGCCAAGAAGAUUUCUCAACUGGGUUAUUCUUGCUUCUAUAUCCAUGCUAAAAUGAGGCAGGAACAUCGAAAUCGUGUAUUUCAUGAUUUCCGAAAUGGCUUAUGCCGCAAUCUUGUUUGCACUGAUUUGUUUACCCGAGGUAUUGAUAUACAAGCUGUGAAUGUGGUAAUUAACUUUGACUUCCCAAAGCUGGCAGAGACCUAUCUCCAUCGUAUUGGAAGAUCAGGUCGCUUUGGUCAUCUUGGCUUAGCCAUCAACUUGAUCACAUAUGAUGAUCGCUUCAACCUGAAAAGUAUUGAGGAGCAGCUGGGAACAGAGAUUAAACCGAUCCCAAGCAACAUUGACAAGAGCCUGUAUGUGGCAGAAUACCACAGCGAGCCUGUAGAAGACGAGAAACCUUAACAAGCAUGCUUUGACAAACUACAGAAGGCUCGUUUGGAUCUGUGACACAUCGUUUGGGGGGGAUGCUCUUCUCUUUGUGGGUUUUUCAUCUUUUUAUUUUGGAACUAUGAAGACUUAAAAGAGCUCGACAUUUUUUCUUUUUUUAACUGGUGAAGAGAAAAAGCUGAAAAGAAGGAAUUUACCUUUUUUGUUCCACUUGUUUGCACUGUGUGCUGACUGAACAUUAGUUGCACUAACUGCUGGUUUUUAAAAAAUGUUUUCUGGGGAAGGGGGACAAGGAAGGAGGAGAAAGAAGAGAAGGGGAGAAACCCUAAAAAGAGAAGAAUCUUGAUGAACACACAAGCUUGUCUACAAUUUCAAAAUUCUCCAACAGCUGACUCUUGAGUGCAUUUCAACUUCUCCCUUAUUACUCAUCCGUUUUUUAAGCCUGAAGAGCUUAUUACUUAUUUGUGCGAAGUGCCUUAUGCUAUGAGACCAUUCAGAAUAUCAUCUUUUAGACACAGCCCAAGGAAUCAACAAUAGUAAUUCUUUUUUUGUUUUUUCCUAUCUUUUUAAAUUUUUUGUCUUUUCAUUCUGGUUUCAAGUUGAAGUCUCUCUCUUCCCUUUUUACCCAAUACUCAAGCCCAGGGCUGGAAGAUGACACAUAUUAGUAAUGUUAAACAUCAUUCUAUUUUACUUUAUGUGGAGGAGUUGAUAUGCAACUGCAGUUCAUCCGCACUGUAAAUACAUGUAUUUAAAAAAAAAAAAAACAAUCCCAAGUAAAAAUUUCUGGGCUGAGUAGAUUACAACAUCACCGCUCCCAAAGGAAAGAGCAGUCUAUCAUUGCAGGAGCCAUAUGACAAGCCUUUGUGCUCUAUAGCAGAACACUAAAGACUGGUUUACAUACGCUUCCAUUAGCAGUUAUGGCACUUGAUGUGUAGACAUGUCAGAGCCUUGACCCUCUUUCCUCUGUGGCAAAGCGUGUCCCAUAGAAAAUUGGGUGUGUAUACUUGUAUAAACUUUGUAAAUAAGUUUUUUUCUGGGUUCAUAUAUAUAUAUACAUAUAUAUAUAUUUUUUUUUGGAUGAAGGUUGCUGGGAUUAAGGGGAUUAGAGUGAUUAUGGGAGCAGCUAAAGAUGAGAGGGGCUCAGUUUUCCGCAACACUAAAUUCUAAAAAGUACUUUGGCCUCUUAGUGUAGAGAGCAGGCCUCUUUGGUGACCCUGUGUUGGAAGAGGAACCCAGAAGUCUGGGAUUCACUGUUUGCUGCCACACUGUAUCAUCUAAUACCUUUGGAGAACACCUGCCAGAGAGAGCAAGGAAACUUCAAAAACCUAUGACUCAAGAUGUUAUUUUUGAGAAGCUCUCUCUGAUUUUGCUUCUCCCCCCCCCCUUUUAAAAAAAGUUUGAGGAACUUUUCAAGCUCAGCAAAAGGGGACAAAGAUUAAUCUCCCUUGCAGUGUGGGAAUUCAAUUGAGUGGCAGUGUCUGAGCAGUAUAUGUACAAAGCAUGGAUUUUGCAUUUCAGAAUAUUAGCCAGUACCAGCUUUGGUAAUGUUAGCAGUUCUGGAGCUUACUUUCUGUGGAUCACUUCCUGUACUGUGUAAGUGUGUUGCCCUCUGCCCACCUUGAGACAUAAACUUGCAGGAAUGGGCAACUCCUGAGAGCUGUUAACUUUCAUGCUACAGAAAGCUGCUUGCCAUCCUUUUGCUUUGUGACAAGAAUCUGUCAUUUUGCAUUGUAAAUUGCUGGCAAAUGCUUUACAGUCAAUAGUGUUGCUUUAAAUUGUGCCCCUCCCAACAUGCUUGAUGUUUGGCCUGAUCUCCAGGCAAAAGGAGUGAGAUGAAUCAAAACCAGUGAACUUUUUUUUUUAAAUGUUUUUAAUUCCCUUUUAACCCAGUGUACUAGGUCAAUCAGGAGGCAUCCAGGGUUUUAAAAAAAAACAAAAAAUAAAAUUAAAUUUGAUUUCCAUAUUCCAUUUUUUCAAAACCCUAAAAUAUUACAAGAUAAGUCCUGCAUAUGCUUUCAUGCUUAACUCACCUGGAUAAAGAAAUCAAUUAUUCACAGUUGCUUUUUUUGACUCUUGGCUAGUUCUAAGCAAAACUAUUUGUGACUCACCCAAAACUCCUUAGGAUCAAAAUCCUGCAGAUGCCUCCUGAUCAGACAUGGCCCUAACUCCUUAAAAAACUGUAGCAAGAGCUGCACAGUACAAACCCAAAAAAAGAAUAAGCUCAUUUAUUUGGUAUCCAAGCUAUGUUCUGUCUGGCCAAUUGGUUACUAAAUACAAGCCCUAAUUAAGGAAUAACUUUUUUCCAGGGAGGGGUGGGGGGAGGGAAUUUAGAAGGCAUCAACUUUUGACCAAAAAAAUCUUGCCCUUGUACUGAUGCAGCUCUCUCUUUUUCCCCCACCUCUGGCGAGAUAAGAGGGAUCAUUCAUUACAGAAGAAAAGCAAAGGCUUGUGGUUGCAAUUGGAUAUCUCGCUAGAGAGUGUGUGGGUGACAAGACAAACCGCGCAGUCGUCUUUGCCAUUCUCAGACUGUGCCUGGUGCCACAUGACUGUGGGUCCCUCUUAAAGCACAGACUUAAUUGAAAGUAUUACUGAAGUAUAGCCUCUGAUGAGGAGUGGCACUUAAAUGAUCUGGAACACCACUAUUGGACACAGUCCUGUAGAGGCAGCUGUCCAGUUUUGGUGCUUGACUCUUGAAUAGGAAUUGCUAAAUGGAAAGAUGCUCUAAGGACUAGGUCAAAGCCUAGUCUCUCUUUUUUUUUUUUUUUAAUCCCCCUCACUCUUAAGGAGCACUGUUACUGGAAAUUGUUUUUGUGUUCUUUCCACUAUUGGGUGUCUCUUUUAAGUAAUGGUAAUAAUUUUUCCAGUGGUUCGUUUGGAUGAAACUGUUCCCUAUUUUUAAUAUUUAAAUUAUGUCCAACUCAUGGUUUUGCCUAUGGCUGUAGUUGUGUAAUGGGUUAUGGACUGUUACACACCUUGCUGCCUCUGGGCCUGUUUUGUUUUUCUCUUCCCAUACAUUCCAGUGGAGAAACUUUCUUGGCUUUCCCUUGGGAAUAGCAUAAACUUAUUCAAAAAUGAUCUUCCAUGGGAAGAAGUAAGGGAGAAGCAAAUCUAAAUCUCUCAGUUAUUUUCCAGUUGGUCCCAGCAUCGUAAUAUGGGUGGGUCCCAAUGGCUGGGGGGAGGGGGGAGGCAAUUGGUUAUCAGUAUCUGUUUUCAGAAUGAGAUGGGAGCAUCUUUCCUUUGCUGUGUGCUUUGUGUUUGAUACCAUCAUGCUUGGGUUAGAACCAGAUAACUCAGCACAAAGCCUUGAGUGUAAAUUUGUUGGAAUCAAAACAUCUCAUUCUGAUCACUUGGUUUAGUUUUUUUUUUUUUCUUUUUUUUUUUUUAAUAGGGGUGGGAGGGAGGUUACUAUGCCCCAAAAGGGAGGGUGUCUGCACUAAGGAUUUAGAAACACUUUGGAAGUUCAUAACCUCAUCAGAAAUGGCCUUUAGCCACACUCCUGACCUUAUAGAUGAGUAACAAAAAGAUGAAAUAAUUUUUGGGGAAUUAAGCCAUGUUAUUUUAAUUUGCUACGUUUUUCAACGUUCUGUGUAUCUUAAAAAUUGUUACUGUGGAAUCAUUUUCUGACAAAAUACCUUUGUCAAGCAAAAUUUUUGGCUUCAUGGGAGCUGAAGUCAACUUUCUGGUGAAAUGAAGUGGACUUUUGUGAGCUUGUAGUUAUACUUUAUAUCCUUAAAGGUAGUUUUCUUAAACUCCUAAAGAAAAUCUCUGGUCUUAAAAACUCAUCUUUGGGGUAGAGAGUUAAGUGUCCAAAGGCUGUAACAGUUCAUGAGGUUAGAGGGAGCUAGCCUGGCACCUGGACUCUGCCCCUCCACAGCUGACAGAUUCCAGCAGAAGUGUGUUUAAAUUCUCCAGUAGACAAUACUGGGCAGGGCAAGGGAGGGGGUAGGGCUGGGUUAUUAAGAUACAGGCUACUGUAUUUUAACCAAUGGUUGUCGGGGAGGGGUGCCUGGAGAAAACAAAGUCACUUCCCUUUUUUGAAACAAAACUAAAACUUGAAAAAAUGUAUUUUUAAGUGAACAGUGGGGACUCAAAAUUUUGAAAACAUUUGGGGAAAGGGAAAAUUGGCUUUCUGUUAAUUGGCAAAUGUUCCAGUGGGACUCUGUUUUUGUUGGGAUAUGUUACGUUGUAUGUACACAUAUAUGGACCAGAGUCUGCUGAGUUUAUAAGGUUCAGAAAAAAUGGUUGAUAAAAUCUCGGUUUUUGUUAAUUUAUCUCAAUAAAAGCCCACUGGAACUCCAAAUGUGUGUGUGAUAUGUCCUUAGCAGGCUGUGCUAUUUAGGAAUUCUUGCAUAUGAGAACAUUUUACUAAAGUAAUUAACAUGGUGAGACAGGACCUUCUCAGCACUACUUCUGUAAGCCCAGUUGAGUAAAAUCUGAGAUGGCUCAUCUCAGCACCCUCAUCCAGUGUAGAUACUGUCCUACCGUCCUCAUUUCACUUUUUCGAUUUUCAUUGCCUGAACAGAGAACCAAGAUAAUCAUUUGGAGAGAUGUUAGUGUGUGAUAUAUGGAAGUGGGUUAUAAGUAAUGCCCUCCAGAACUGUUCAGAUGUUUCAGUAAACUGAACAUGCCCACAAAGUUUACUUAGGAAUGAAUUUGACAAUAUGAACAAUUUGUGUGCUAAAGGGAUGCCUGGGUGGCUCAGUCGGUUAAGCGGCUGCCUUCGGCCCGG